rnacentral:rRNA from 1 species
AGCAGCCGCGGUAAUUCCAGCUCCAAUAGCGUAUAUUAAAGUUGUUGCAGUUAAAAAGCUCGUAGUUGAAUUUCGGGGUCAGUAGGUUGGUCGUGCCACUGGUAUGCACUGGUCUCACUGAUUCCUCCUUCCUGAUGAACUGUAAUGCCAUUAAUUUGGUGUUGCGGGGAAUCUGGACUGUUACUUUGAAAAAAUUAGAGUGUUUAAAGCAGGCUAACGCUUGAAUACAUUAGCAUGGAAUAAUGAAAUAGGACGAUCGAUCCUAUUUUGUUGGUUUCUAGGAUUGACGUAAUGAUUAAUAGGGAUAGUUGGGGGCAUUAGUAUUCAAUUGUCAGAGGUGAAAUUCUUGGAUUUAUUGAAGACUAACUACUGCGAAAGCAUUUGCCAAGGAUGUUUUCAUUAAUCAAGAACGAAAGUUAGGGGAUCGAAGACGAUCAGAUACCGUCGUAGUCCUAACCAUAAACUAUGCCGACUAGGGAUCGGAUGAUGUUAAUUUUUUAAUGA